AGUUGUCAAGGGUUUCCCUGAAAUAGAAUUGAAGUGGAUGUUUGGAAACAAGGAGGUUGUAGUUCCAAAGGCCGUUAGCCUCCACUUGCAUCAUGAUUGGAAGAAAUGGCGUGAGGAUGUUAAAGCAGACCUCAAGAGGGAUUUGCUGGAGAAUGUUGAGCAUGGUAAAAAAUAUAUGGCUGAGAAACAGGAAAGGAUCCUCCUGGAUCGGGAUAGAGUGGUGGCAAAAUCAUGGUAUAAUGAAGAAAGAAAUAGGUGGGAGAUGGAUCCUGUGGCUGUUCCUUAUGCUGUGUCCAAGAAGCUUCUUGAGAGUGCUAGAAUCAGACAUGACUGGGCUGCCAUGUAUGUUAUGUUGAAGGGAGAUGAUAGAGAAUAUUAUGUUGAUAUCAAGGAAUAUGAAGUGAUAUAUGAAGAUUUUGGAGGUUUUGAUGCCUUGUACCUGCGAAUGCUUGCUUCAGGUAUCCCAACUGCGGUUCAGCUGAUGUGGAUUCCUUUCUCA
rnacentral:misc_RNA from 1 species